ensembl:lncRNA
CGCGCUUCUCCGGUGUCGCACGGCGUGGUGGCACCGUCCCUCGCAAGGAGGGAGGGUCCUGCUUUCGGUGGAGUGGCCGUGGAGAGGGGCACGUCGUGGGUUCCUCCCAGGGAACGCAUGCCGCUGGGGUUCAGGGCUCCUUGUCCUCUUGCAACAUCCCACACAUGAAAUAUGAAGCCAAGUUCCUCCUGAUCCUUCACGAGGAACCAGGCGUUAACUGUGUCCUGCCCAAUUCCAGUUCCAGAGUGCUGCAGUCCCUCUGCCUUCAGUCCCCAAGCAGCUUCAGAUUGAGGCUUUUCCAAAUCUUCCUUCUUUUCUCCCUGCCCUAAACUUGAGGACAGCAGCCUGGCAUGCAGCAUCCAUGGGCUGCUUGGCCUUGGAGUACAGAGCAAGGGCUGUUUUGGAGUGCUCGAGCCACAAGAACGGCGGUUUUCAUGGCUGUGGUCGUGAUCUCCCAGUGGUGUUUUGCCAAGGCUGCUGGGGUCCCUGCAGUCCUGUCCCAGCCAAGCCCCAGCCUGGACGGUGGGGCCGAGGAGGGACCCCCAAGGUGCAGGCUAGAGAUGGUUGUGCCACCAUUUGAAGACAUCAACCCUAUCCUGAGCAUCCGUGAGCUGGAAGAAGAGUGGAGAAAGCACUGAGGGUUUUUCCCUUUAUGGAUGAUAUCCAAUUAAGACUUCAAAUAAUGAGCACUGUCUAUGAUGAUUUGGAAUACCUCCAUGACUAUGUGAGAGCUUCCUGCAUGGAAAGGACAUAAGAGGGGAGAUCUUGGGAAUAUUCUAGUGACAGAGGUGAUGCAAUCCAAGCGGAUGGGGAAGCUUUAAAGCCGUUUGGCAAAGCAAGCGUUUGCGGUUUCACCCAUAGCCCUGCAGCACCGCUCUUCAUUGGGAACCACCUGCAGAGCAGGAUGUGAUCCCUGGCUGCAGAGAAUCCCUGGAGUGGGGUGGGUUGUGACUUGGGCUGGCUGAGCCUCUCCUGGCAGGAGCAGCUGGGAAGGGGAGCACAGGGGAGAAGGCAUGCAGCCCUUUCCUCUGCUCUCUCAGUGAGUGUCUGCUCCUCCAAAGAAAUGUAUUUGUGAGCAUUUGUCAGUGAUUGCCAUCGAAGGAGGCAAAAAUCUAUAACCUGGGGUCAGGCCUUUCUUCCAGGCUCUCAUGUCAUGAGAUUCUCUCCACCUCCUCCCUCAAACUGCAGGGAGCAGCCCCUCUGCGCUGUGUCUCAUCUCGCUGACAUGGCUUGGCUGUAGUCCGUGUCCAGGAGGUCGCCGGCAGACGUCGGCUGUCGCUGGAAAAGAGCUGGAGUGGUGUCCUGGGGACGCCACGGGUCCAGGCACUCGAAGUGACCCCGUCACUGCAGCUGCCCUGAUGGGUGAGUGCCACGUGCUGCCAGCGCUGCCAGCCCAGGCUCUGCCGCGGCGGGGUGGGCGAUGCUCCUCGCUGGGGUCUGUCAAGGGAAAUCCACCACGGAGUUAAUGUGUGCUCUGCUUCCAGCCCUUCUUUGUUAAGGGGUUUGGCCCAGUGCCACGCGGGGAGAGCGGCAGGCAGUGCUGGGGGCCAGCGGGGACAGCUUUUGUUCAACAUUGUGGCUCCUCCAUGGAAAGGACGGUUGGCCAAAAUGGGGCGCGUGCGAGCGCGGCAGUCGCUC